GUGCCAGCCGCCGCGGUAAUACGGAGGGCGCAAGCGUUACUCGGAAUCACUGGGCGUAAAGAGAGUGUAGGCGGGUAAUUAAGUUGGAAGUGAAAUCCUAUGGCUCAACCAUAGAACUGCUUCCAAAACUGAAUACCUAGAAUAUGGGAGAGGUAGAUGGAAUUUCUGGUGUAGGGGUAAAAUCCGUAGAGAUCAGAAGGAAUACCGAUUGCGAAGGCGAUCUACUGGAACAUUAUUGACGCUGAGACUCGAAAGCGUGGGGAGCAAACAGGAUUAGAUACCCUGGUAGUCCACGCCCUAAACGAUGUACAUUAGUUGUUGCCAUGCUAGACAUGGCAGUAAUGCAGUUAACACAUUAAAUGUACCGCCUGGGGAGUACGGUCGCAAGAUUAAAACUCAAAGGAAUAGACGGGGACCCGCACAAGCGGUGGAGCAUGUGGUUUAAUUCGACGAUACGCGAAGACCCUUACCUGGCCUUGACAUAGAUAGAAUAUACCAGAGAUGUAUUAGUGCUAGUUUACUAGAACUAUCAUACAGGUGCUGCACGGCUGUCGUCAGCUCGUGUCGUGAGAUGUUGGGUUAAGUCCCGCAACGAGCGCAACCCUCGUGUUUAGUUGCUAACAGAUAAUGCUGAGGACUCUAGACAGACUGCCUGGGCAACCAGGAGGAAGGUGAGGACGACGUCAAGUCAUCAUGGCCCUUACGGCCAGGGCUACACACGUGCUACAAUGGGGUAUACAAAGAGCCGCAAUACCGCGAGGUGGAGCAAAUCUCAUAAAAUAUCUCCCAGUUCGGAUUGUUCUCUGCAACUCGAGAACAUGAAGUUGGAAUCGCUAGUAAUCGUAGAUCAGCAAUGCUACGGUGAAUACGUUCCCGGGUCUUGUACUCACCGCCCGUCACACCAUGGGAGUUGAAUUCAUUCGAAGCGGGGAUGCUAAAAUAGCUACCUUCCACAGUGGAUUUAGUAACUAGGGUGAAGUCGUAACAAGGUAACC
rnacentral:rRNA from 1 species